AUUGAACGCUGGCGGCAUGCCUUACACAUGCAAGUCGAACGGCAGCGGGGGCUUCGGUCCGCCGGCGAGUGGCGAACGGGUGAGUAAUGUAUCGGAACGUACCUUUCAGUGGGGGAUAACGUAGCGAAAGUUACGCUAAUACCGCAUAUUCUGUGAGCAGGAAAGCAGGGGAUCGCAAGACCUUGCGCUGAUUGAGCGGCCGAUAUCAGAUUAGCUAGUUGGGGAGGUAAAGGCUCACCAAGGCGACGAUCUGUAGCGGGUCUGAGAGGAUGAUCCGCCACACUGGAACUGAGACACGGUCCAGACUCCUACGGGAGGCAGCAGUGGGGAAUUUUGGACAAUGGGGGCAACCCUGAUCCAGCCAUGCCGCGUGAGUGAAGAAGGCCUUCGGGUUGUAAAGCUCUUUCGGCCGGGAAGAAAUCGCAUGGGUUAAUACCCUGUGCGGAUGACGGUACCGGCAUAAGAAGCACCGGCUAACUACGUGCCAGCCGCCGCCGUAA
rnacentral:rRNA from 1 species